rnacentral:rRNA from 1 species
GUGCCAGCAGCCGCGGUAAUUCCAGUCUCCAAUAGCGUAUAUUAAAGUUGUUGUGGUUAAGAAGCUUGCAGUUGAACCUUGGGCCUGGCUGGCCGGUCCGCCUCACCGCGUGCACUGGUCCGGCCGGGCCUUUCCCUCUGUGGAACCCCAUACCCUUCACUGGGCGUGGCGGGGAAACAGGACAUUUACUUUGAAAAAAUUAGAGUGCUCCAGGCAGGCCUAUGCUCGAAUACAUUAGCAUGGAAUAAUAAAAUAGGACGCGCGGUUCUAUUUUGUUGGUUUAUAGGACCGCCGUAAUGAUUAAUAGGGACAGUCGGGGGCAUCAGUAUUCAACUGUCAGAGGUGAAAUUCUUGGAUCAGUUGAAGACUAACUACUGCGAAAGCAUUUGCCAAGGAUGUUUUCAUUAAAUCAGGAACGAAAGUUAGGGGAUCGAAGACGAUCAGAUACCGUCGUAGUCUUAACCGUAAACUAUGCCGACUAGGGAUCGGGCGAUGUUCUUUUUCUGACUCGCUCGGCACCUUACGAGAAAUCAAAGUUUUUUGGUUUCUGGGGGGAAUUAUGGUCGCAGGCUGAAAACUUAAAGAAAUUGACGGAAGGUCACCACACAGGCGUGGAGCCUGCGGCCUUAUUUUGACUCAACACGGGGAAACUCGCCAGGGCCAGGAUGAAAUAGGAAUUGAUAGAUUUGAGAGCCUCUUUCUUUGAUUUUUCAGGUGGGGGGUCAAGGGCCGGUUCCUAAGUUCGUGGGGGGUGAUGUGGCUUGCCUUGAAUUGCGCAAAACGAAGCGAGACCCUAAU